rnacentral:lncRNA from 1 species
AAUGAUCCACCUCCUUCUUAAGAUGUUAGAGUUCUGAACAAUAUUUUAAACUUUCUUAAAAAUUCAAAUUCUGCAGUUAUAUUUUUUUUUGUCUUUGACAUUUUGAAAAAAAAAAAAAAAUUAAGUUUUCUAGAUCAGAUUUACAAACAGGUGAAAAUCUUUUAUUUGGAUUUACCUCAAGAAUCACAUUAGAGUUGGGAGACGAACGGUGACUAAUUGGGUCAAAUGCAAAUGACAAACACCUGUGUCUUGUUCCAGUAAUUGGCAUGGACAGACCACAUAAAGAGCCCAGGAGUGAGCUAGGAGAGAGAGGGAGACCAUGCCUGAUCUGGAGAGCGCUGUGCUAUACUGAGCGCUGUCAUUUCGUCCAGGUUUGGGGUGUCCACAUCUUGGUCGUAGCCCCACCUGAACCCAUCAAAGCUGAUUAGUAGUUGUCUGUGGUGCAACGAUCUCUGACUGGAGCAGAAAGAGUCACAGGGAAAAUAUGCAGCAAAACACUCAGUGCCAACAACAUGACAGUUCUUACCUAGCACAGAUUCUUUGGAUACCCAACUUGACCAACACUAAACAGCUUGAACAUUCCUGCUGGUCAUUUUGGCAUGGAAUCCUGCAGUUUAGUUCUUUAACCACCAAGUUAUGCAUGGUCAUUGCUGACAAAAUCCAUUGUUUGUAACCACACAAAAUUAUGCAUAUUCUUUGGUUUAUUUGAUUUUGAAAUGAUGCACAUUUGAAAUUGUAAGUAUGUGGCCUAAAGGAAUGUCUGUGUUAUGAGUACUGUAUGGUAAUGCAUUUGAGUGAGAGUUUCAUGUUCUUAAUCUAAUUUAGGGUAAUCUAAAUUGUGGUUCAGACUUGCACAAUAAUUGGGAGCAAUUUUGUACUGUUUUUCUUAAUAAAACUCUGAUGUGAUCUCUGUUCUUUUGUUGACAUUGCGUAGCAUUUCAAUUAUAGUUAGAAGUCAAGACCUAAACUGGGACGGUCUAUGGUGUUUUUCUCUGUUUGAGGCCUUUCUUUUUGACAUAAUUUGCUCAUCUGUGAUGUCUUCCAUUAUGUUGAAAGUAAAUGUAAAAGUUAUGUUAUUAUGCAGGUUAUGCUGCUUUUAUGAUGAUUCUUUCACUCUUAAAAAAAUAAUAAAAUAAUAAUCACAGUAUUCCAAUGCUGUUUCUUUAAAUUAUAUUAGAUAAGCACCUAUAAAGAUAUGUUUUUGUUUUAAAACUUAAUUUACAAGAAGUUCAGUCCCAUAACAUUUGCAGUCCAGUUUCUUUUCUGGUAUGACGCAGAGCUGUCUGACACACAUAUAUGCUUUGCAUCAGCUUGAAUUUUUCA